CCCUCUACGCAUAGCCGGCGGAAAUGUUAUUGAAUUGGGAGUCAAUAUGGGAGACUUUCCAUGCUGAGCCAUAGAGCUAGGGAGAUGAGGUGGGUUACCGGGUAGGAACCAGAACAAGAAUGAGAAGGAGCUUAAGUAGGAGCAUUGCAAGUUGAUAUGGGAGCUCGACUUUAGCAUAUCCACCCACCUCCACAUGCCCUCCUGGCUCCCGUUCACAGGGAUCUGCAACCGCUGGGCCUUCACCGUGGGCGCCGCCGCCUCCGCGCAGGGUGUGGUUGAUGGCUGCCGCCUGGUCUUCACCGCGGGCGCCGCGGAAUCCUCGCUGAGUGCUAUUGGUGGACAUCUCCAUGCUCCAUCGACGUGUGCCGCUGGUGCCGUGAACUAUCUAGGAUAAGGUGCCAAGGUGGGAUCAUGAUUUAGGAACCCAGGAGCUGG